rnacentral:tRNA from 1 species
GGUUUCGUAGUGUAGUGGCUAUCACAUUGGAUUUUGAUUCCAACAACCUGAGUUCGAAUCUCGGCGAGACCU